AUUUAUUUUAUAUUGUUUUAAUUAUCUCAACAAUAUGAUCAUUCAGAGAAAGGCAUUCUUGACCAUGAAGAAAACUGUGAUGAAUGAUCAAGAUAAAAAUUGUCAUUUCAGAGUCUACUUUAGAAAGCUUCCCUCUUGCCAAGAAAUUGACAUCAUAGGUGACACUGGCAGCUUCAUAUUAUCAUGAAUCAUCUAUGACAGAAGAGUUUCCAUCCUAGUUUGAGAAUACAUACUAAUAAUAUGUAAUUAAUUACUAAGUUUCUAUUUUCCAGAUUAUUAAAAAACAUUAACAAGUCCUCAUAGCAACACUCGUCUCAUUUUUCAUGCAGAGAAAAGAACAGGCUGACUAGGUACUUAACAUUUACUUGGCCAACCGUGUCAUCUGCUCCACUCAAGGCACAGUUACUUGACUUCCCCCCUCCUAAAGUCCCAAGUGCUGUCAUCUGCAAAAUAAGCUGCUGGUGCUUUUCACUGUCCAUGAAAACUUUCCUGACAACACCCAAAUCUUCUUUUGCUUGUGAGAAAUGUUUUGCUUUGGACCUUCCAAAACAAGCCUGAAGGCAUUUUGGUGGUACAGACCAUAUGGCAAAAUUGCUAAAUUAUUAAAUCUACAGACUGGUAUACAAGCAAUGCUUUGAAUUUAUCCACCAACCAAAGAAUUGCCAAGCUGUAUGAUGCAUUCAGCUUGUGGAUGUGAACUGGAUUGGAAACAUGCAUGAGAAGGAACAGGCGAGUAAAGACGGGCCUCCAGACAGUAUGCAAGUACAGACAAAAGGAACAGGAACAGUAUAAACCUGAGACCUGGUACAUAGAGACAUCCUCCGAGAGAUCCUUGAGACAGAUACCUUGAGAACCAUUUUGAGAACCAACCUUUAAGAAGCAUUUGAAUUGGAAAAAGCUGAAAAUGAGUUCUUCAAUGAACACCCAUCACAAUGUCAUAACUUGUAGGUAAAAAGCAAACAGACAAAUCCAUCGUUAACUUUGGCAGAGAGAAUUCUCAACAUUGACUAUUCAUUUCUAUCAUUAAAAUGCAAUUUUAAGCCAAUCGGUGGUAUCAGUUGAAGUUCAUGGUUUAUGGUGCCAGUGACUGAUAAAAAUAACAGACUGCUUUCCUUUUUUGUGACAUGCCCUCUGACUCAUAGGUAGGCAGCUAGUGGCUCUUGGUUACGCAAGUGUAACUUUGCAAAAUUCAGUGAAGUUAGUCCAGAUUUCCAUGAGUAAAAAUGCAUUUGUAUGGCCAACUGACUCAGCUGAUAUCCUUUUACUCUAGUGUAAGAUUAUCACCUUAUCUUAAUCUUACAUCAGAGACAGGAUUUUCUAAGAGUUCUUUAUAAACUGUAGAGUCAUGUAACAGAGUAAUUAAUCAGGUAUUCGGACAGCAGCUAUAACUUCCGUUUGCAGUAGAGAUCUGACAUCUCUUUACACUAGUUUUAGUCUAAUAAAAAUCUGUGGUGGAGAAUCAUACCUUUAUUUCAGUUCCUAAACUCUCCAAUGACACUGACAGCUGAAACAAUCAAGUCCUGCACAGAAUUUGAGGAAAUGGUUUCUUCUUUAUUUUGUGGAUGAUACUUUUAGUCUUUAUUAACGACCCCACAUAUGCUUUGUUUUUCUCUGACAGCUUGAACAAGUCAAUGCAAUCUAUAGUAGUUUCACUGAAUUGUACUUAUCUCUGUCUGAAUGUUAUGUGGUACUUAACAAAUAACUAACAAAAGUCAACAUAUAUUUUAUCCUGUGCAAUUUCCUCUAUUCUUUAAAAAAAACAACUACUUUGGCAUGAUACUGUGUUAUGAGUAUGUGUUGCCUUCAUCCCGUUUUGUACCACUGCUUAUGAAUUGAAUGAUAGUUAGAAUUUCAGAAGAAAUUUCAGGAUAUAAGUAAUGGAUAAGGCAUACCCAUUACAAUCUCCAACCCUUUGCUGCUAGCCAGACCAUGGGAAAGGAAAGGAGCUCAUUGCAAUGUUAAACCCUGUAGCUUGGUCUGAAGGAACCAGGGGUGGAGAUUGUGAUGGAUUCCUCUAAACUGUUGUAACCCACGAUCUGAAUUGCAUGUUAUAGGAAAUUCCUAUAGCACGAACCACUCAAACCAAUGGAGGAUGAGCCUUGCAAGACAGAUAGCAAGUGCAGCAGUGACCCGACCUGAGCUGGCUUUGGCAUCCAAUAACUCCAUGCAACACACCACCUUUCCUGUCCUGAAUGACCACCAUAACAGAUGAGUUCUUUUAGUCAUGGACUAAAAGAACUCAGUGGACGUUUUAUGAACAUUUUAUGAACAUUUCAAAGAGGUGAUCCUUAGACCAAGGGAAUGAUAUCUGUGUAUUAAUUAAAGGGUGGUGAUUAAUGA